rnacentral:lncRNA from 1 species
GGAGUUCCCGUCGUGGCGCAGUGGUUAACGAAUCCGACUAGGAACCAUGAGGUUGAGGGUUCGGUCCCUGCCCUUGCUCAAUGGGUUAACGAUCCGGCAUUGCCGUGAGCUGUGGUGUAGGUCACAGACACAGCUCGGAUCUGGUGUUGCUGUGGCUCUGGUGUAGGCCGGCAGCAACAGAUCCAAUUAGACCCCUAGCCUGGGAACCUCCAUAUGCUGCAGGUCAACCCUAAGAAGGAAAAAGCAAAAAAUAAAAUAAAAUAAAAGUAAAAUAGAAGGGGAAAUAAAGAAUAUCUCCAACAAACAAAAGCUAAAAGUGUACAGCAAUACAAAGCCCUUUCUGAAAUAAAUACUGAAAGGGCUUCUCUAAAUUUAAAAAAAAAAAAGAAGAAGAAGAAUUAGGAUGGAUGAAACUACAAUUGGAAAGCAGUCACUUAAAUUAGCCAGCAUACAGAUCUAAACAUGCAGAUGUCAAAAAAAAAAAAAAAAGAAGAUAUAAAAAUCAUACAGUGUGGGAAAGGAAAGUAAGAAAAUAUAGAUUUUUUUUUAUUUUUUUAAUGAUGUGUUUGAGCCUAUUUGACUAUCAGGCUAAAGCAAGCAGAUAUAGGAAGGGGUUAACAUACUUAAAAAACAGGGCAACCACAAAUCAAAACCGAACAUUACAUUCACAAAAACUGAAAAGAAAAGUACUCAAGCAUAAAAUAAAUGGAAACUAUCCAACCAAAAAAAGGAAAGAAGGAAAGAGAAACAUAGAAUCAGCUGGAAAACAAGGUUUAAAAUGGCAAUAAAUACAUAUAUAUCAAUGAUCACCUUAAAUGUCAAUGGACUGAAUGUUCCAAUCUAAAGACACAGAGUGGCAGAUUGGAUAAAAAAGCAAACACCUUCAAUCUGUUCUCUACAAGAGACUCACCUUAGGGAAAAGGACACAUAUAGAUUGAAAGUGAGGGGAUGAGAAAAGAUAUUUCAUGUCAAAGGACAAGACAGGAAAGCAGGAAUUGCAAUACUCAUAUCAGACAAAAUAGACUUUAAAAUGAAGGCCAUAAAGAAAGAAAAGAAAGACACUACUCAAUGGUUAACAGAUCUGUUCAAGAAGAGGAUAAUAUAAUCAUCAAUAUAUAGGCCCCUAAUAUAGGAGCACCCAGAUACCUCCAACAAAUACUAACAGACGUAAAAGGAGAAAUUGAUGGGAAUACAAUCAUAGUAGGAGAAUUUAACAUCCCACUCACAUCAAUGGACAGACCCUCUAGAUAGAAAAUCAAUAAGGUAACAGAGAUCCUAAAAGGACACAUUAGAAAAGUUAGACUUAAUCAACAUUUUCAGGACAUUACAUUCAAAAAAAUUAGAAUAUACAUUCCUCUCAAGUGCCCAUGGAACAUUUUCAAGAAUUGAUCACAUACUGGGGCACAAAGCUAACCUCAACAAAUUUGAGUAUAGAAAAUGUUUCAAAUAUCUUCCUGACCACAAUGGUAUGAAACUAGAAAUCAACCACAAGAAAAGAAAUCAAGAAAACUUACUACAGGAGUUCCCGUCGUGGCACAGUGGUUAACGAAUCCGACUAGGAACCAUGAGGUUGUGGGUUCGACCCCUGGCUUUGCUCAGUGGGUUAAGGAUCUGGCAUUGCCGUGAGCUGUGGUGUAGGUUGCAGAUGCAGCUCGGAUCCCGUGUUGCUGUGGCUCUGGGGUAGGCCGGCAGCUACAGCUCCAAUAAGACCUCUAGCCUGGGAACCUCCAUAUGCCUCAGGAAGCAGCCCCAGAAAAGACAAACAAAACAAAACAAAACAAAAAAAACUUACUACAUGGAGACUAAACAACAUGCUACUAAAAAAAACAGUGGGUCAGGAGGAAAUCAAAAAGGAAAUUUAAAAAUACUUCAAGACAAGACAGUGAAAACACAACCACUCAAAAUCUAUGGGAUGCCACAAAAGCAGUGCUCAGGGGGAAAUUCAUAGCAAUACAGGCCUUCCUCAAAAAAGAAGAAAAAUCUCAAAUCGACAAAUUAACCCACCACCUAAAUGAAUUAGAAAGAGAAGAACAAACAAAUCCUAAAGUCAGAAGGAAGGAAAUCAUAAAGAUCAAAGAGGAAAUCAAUAAAAUAUAGAUUAAAAGACAAUAGAAAAAUCAAUAAAACCAAGAGCUGGUUCUUUGAAAAGGUAAACAAAAUUGACAAACCUCUGGCUAGACUCACCAAGCAGAGGAGAAAAAACCCAAAUAAACAAAAUAAGAAAUUAAAAAUAAGUCACAACAGAUACUAAAGAAAUACAAAAAAAAAAAACCUGAGAGAAUACUAUGAACAAUUGUAUGCUAACAAAUUUGACAACCUAGAAGAAAUGGAUAACUUUCUAGAGACUUAGAGCCUGCCAAAACUGAAUAAAGAAGAAAUAGAUCAACUGAACAGACUGAUCACUAAAGAUGAAAUUGAAUAUGUCAUAAAAACAAUCCCUACAAAUAAAAGUCCAAGACCAGAUGGCUUCACAGACAAAUUCUACCAAACAUACAAAGAGGAACUUACACCCACCCUCCUUAAACUUUUCCAAAAGGAUGAAGAAGAAGGAACACUCCCAAAGACAUUCUAUGAUACCACCAUCACCCUAAUUCCAAAACCAGACAAAGAUACCACCAAAAAAGAAAACUAUCCGCCAAUAUCUUUGAGGAAUAUAGAUGCAAAAAUUCUAAACAAAAUUUUAGCCAACCAAAUCCAACAACAUAUAAAAAAGAUCAUACACCAUGACCAGGUGGGAUUCAUCCCAGGUUCACAAGGAGGGUUCAACAUAAGCAAAUCAAUCAACGUUAUAUACCACAUUAACAAAAGAAAAGUCAAAAACCACAUGCUUAUCUCAAUGGAUGAAGAAAAAGCAUUUGACAAAGUCCAACAUCCAUUCAUGAUCAAAACUCUUACCAAAGUGGGUAUAGAGGGAACACUCCUUAAUAUAAUCAAAGCCAUUUUAUGACAAACCCACAGCAAAUACAAUACUUCCCACUAAAAUCUGGAACAAGACAAGGAUAUCUACUCUCACCACUGUUAUUCAAUAUAGUAUUGGAAAUCCUAGCCACAGCAAUCAGACAAAAAAAAGAAAUAAAAGGCAUCCAAAUAGGAAGAGAAGAGGUAAAACUAUAUGCAGAUGACAUGAUACUAUAUAUAGAAAACCCUAAGGACUCAACCCAAAAACUACUUGAACUGAUCAACAAAUUCAGCAAAGCAACAGAAUAUAAUUAACAUUCAGAAAUCAGUCACAUUUUUGUAUACUAAUAAUGAAAUAUUAGAAAAGGAAUACAAAAAUACAAUACCUUUUAAAAUUGCACCCCAAAAAAUCAAGUACCUGGGAAUACACCUGAACAAGAAGGUAAAAGUCUUAUAUGCUAGGAACUAUAAAACAUUAAUCGAGGAAAUUAAAGAGGAUGUAAAGAAAUGGAAAGAUAUUCGAUGCUCCUGGGUUGGAAAAAUUAAUAUUGUAAAAACGGCCAUACUACCCAAAGCAAUCUACAGAUUCAGUGCAAUCCCUAUCAAAUUACCCAUAACAUUUUUCACAGAACUAGAACAAACAAUCCAAACAUUCUUAUGGAACCACAAAAGACCCAGAAUUGCCAAAGCAAUUCUGAGGAACAAAAACCAAGCAGGAGGCAUAACUCUCCCAGACCUCAGGCAAUAUUGCAAAGCCACAGACAUCAGGAUAGUGUGGUACUGGUAUCAAACAUACAGACCAAUGGAACAGAAUAGAGAAUGCAGAAAUAAACUCAGACACCUAUGGUCAAUUAAACUUUGACAAAGGAGGUAAGAACAUAAAAUGGGAAAAAGACAGCCUUUUCAGUAAGUAUUGCUAGGGGGGACAGCUGAAUGCAAAUCAAUGAAACUGGAAAGCACCCUCACAUCAUGCACAAAAAUAAACUCAAAAUGGCUGAAAGACUUAAAUAUAAGACAAGACACCAUCAAACUCCUGAACGAGAACAUAGGCAAAACAUUCUCUGACAUCAACCUUGCAAAUGUUUUCUCAGGUCAGUCUCCCAAAGCAACAGAAACAAAAACAGAAAUAAACCAAUGGGACCUAAUCGAACUGACAAGGUUUUUUUUUGUUUUUGUUUUUGUUUUUGGUGUUUUUGCCUUUUCUAGGGCCGCUCCCACAGCGUAUGGAGGUUCCCAGGCUAGGCGUCUAAUCAGACUGUAGCUGCUGGCCUAUACCACAGCCACAGUGGCAACUCGGGGAUCCAAGCCGCAUCUGCAACCUACACCACAGCUCACGGCAACACUGGAUCCUUAACCCACUGACUGAGCAAGGCCAUGGAUCGAACCUGCAACCUCCUGAUUCCUAGUUGGAUUCAUUAACCGCUGAGCCAUGACAGGAACUUCAAACUGACAAGCCUUUACACAGUAAAGGAAAUCAAAAAGAAAAUAAAAAGACAAUUUACAGAAUGGGAGAAAAUAAUUUCAAAUGAUGCAACUGACAAGGGCUUAAUCUCUAAAAUAUACAAACAAUUUAUACCACUCAACAUCAGAAAACCAACAACCCAAUGUAAAAAUGGGCAAAAGGCCUGAAUAGACAUUUCUCCAAGGAAGAUAUUCAGAUGGCCAACAAACACAUGAAAAAAUGUUCAACAUCACUGAUUAUCAGAGAAAUGUACACUUGAUCUUAGCCAAAAGGCCGAGAAGCGAUGAUUAUCAGAGAAAUGUAAAUCAAAACUACCAGGAGAGGAGUUCCCAUUGUGGCUCAGCGGAAACGAAUCUGACUAGGAACCAUGAGGUUGCAGUUCGAUCCCUGGCCUCGUUCAGUGGAUUAAGGAUCUGGCAUUGCUGUAAGCUGAGGUAUAGGUCAAAGAUGUAGCUCGGAUCUGGCGUGGCUGUGGCUCUGGUGUAGGCCAACAGCAACAGGUCCAAUUAGCCCCCUAGCCUGGGAAUC